GCACGGACGUUUGCACGGCGUCGACGGAGCAAGCCCGAGCCGUGGAUCAGAUCCGGUGCUUUCCAGUAGCGUCGGCAGACCACGCAGUAAAUGCAGAAGGUGAGGCGCUGGAGGGGGCAGUGAAGGUGAAUCUUGCAUUCUUCCCAGGCGGCAAAGCGGUGGGGAAAUCUCCUGCGGCGAAGGGGAUUGCGCGGUCCAGCGAGUUCCCAGGUGUUCCGGCGGUCAUGGAGUUCUUGAUGCAGCCGAUAAACAGAAAAUGUGUGGAUGAACCAGAACACUGCUAGAGGAGGUCAAUGAUAACAACAGCACCAUAGAGCCUGUCGGUUCCCGGUCAUCGCGCCAGCGGAGGUUGAGAUGCCAGCACCAGCGGCUUCAAGUGCAGACGGCUAAAUCUGUUGUGAGGGCGCCGCUGCAGAGCCUGCAAAUGCAGAUAAGGCUCAAGGUUCAGAGCACUCCAUAGAGCAAGUGGAUCCAAAAACUACGGGUCAACGCAAAGGUAUGAAGAUUGCAAUUAAAGGAUUGUUCAUUGUGCGUUUAGAAAAAAUCAGGGGCGUCCUAGCUAUCAAGUAAAACAGAAAUUGCUAGCUUCAUUUCAGAUGGUUUGUUAAUUUGUAAUAGUGAUUGAAUAAUAAGCAACCCUUGGAGAUGCUCCUGGGAAGGAUGUUGUGGUGCAAGUUAAUUUUGUGAGGAAAAUAAACACUACACUGCAGAGAACAAAUAGAUUUCCCUAAUCUGUGAUGCAAACAUGAUGCAUUUUCAGUGUCUGAGCCAAAGUAGUUCAUACAAUGGUUGAAACUGAAAGAAUAGUUGAUUGUUUGGAUAUAAUUUGCAAUGCCUUACAGAGUGCGUGUCGGUGCUGCCGCGCUAGGCAGAGCUCCUUGCCCGGACAGGGUCACAGCCCUGGAGAAGUCCGUCCUGAUCCGUGCUACAGGAUUGAUGCUUUUCCGGUAACUAUGCUAGCAGCCAAGUAAAUGCAAGCAUGGGUCAACGGAGCAGAUGUCUCCUACCUUGCUAGCGUGGAUCCUUCUUUUCUCGAGAGCGACGAUCCGGUGGAAACACCGUCUAUGAAAAGGAACCUGCGGCUACCAGCGAAGCUGGAGUUCUUGAUGCAGUCGAUUAACAGGUACGGAUCUGUUCGGUGGUGCGAGUUAUUUCACAGGGAUUUUGUUUGGGGAUUUCUGAAGAUCUGUUGUAGAGGAGGUGAAUGACAGCGACAUACCCAUGGAGCCCCUGAUGGCACCACAUGGGGGCAAGCUGCCGGCCAUGACGGCAUCAAGUGCGGAUGGGCAGCGAUUCGAGAUUCGACUCAGGCAUCCGAGCAAUCUGUAGAGCAGACCGACCCAAAAAAAGGUCAGGAUUGGGGCUGCUGAGCCAGUCAGGGCGCCGCCCUAAUAUGAUUUCAGCAAUGGAGAAAUCAAUACGGGGUUUUGCUGAAAACACUGGAGACAAUGUCAUUGUGCCAAAAUUAGGAACCAACUUUCAUACAUUGGGUGAAGCCUAUGAUUUCUACAAUCUGUAUUCGUAGGAGAAAGGAUAGGCAUUAGGUACGGAAAGAGGAGACUAAAUGUGAAUAGGAUGAAAUGCAUGCAAAAAAUAGUCUGCAGAUGCGUGGGGAAGCCGGUAGUGGAGAACACAGGCUCUUGCCACUGUGACUGUCCUGCUCUCAUAAGACUGCUGUGUUUCAAAGACAACAGUUGGUACAUAGCCGAGCACCGUGAGGGGCACAACCAUUUGUUGUCUCCGACCAAUGGGUAGACAAUAAAUACACAGGCAAUCACACAAACAUAUCGAUGUGUACAGAAAUGAAGUUGCAGAAAUAAGGCACUGCCUUCAAUUAGAACACAGGUUGGCAGAGAAUGGAGAUGUUGUGAACCAGAUUCAGCCACAAGGUGCUCUGGUGGUUAUGGGAGACAAAGUGCAUGGUGUUAUGGGCAACGAUGAUAACAAUGCAGCUAAUGAGUCCAGGAAUAUGCUAGCGGGAUUACUACCUCUGGGUAAGAGGAAAGAGAUGGGAAGGCCUACAACAAGCAGAGAGAAGUCGCCAUAUGAAGGGUUGAGCAAGAGGACAAGAUUCUGCACCAUCUGUCGGCGUCAAGGGCACGAAGCGGAUAACUUGGCCUGAUCGCGGAGAUGUCCCAAAACAAGCUUGGAAAUCUGGACGAUGCAAAAAUUGUGGUGUAAGGCCACCGUCGGAAGAACUGCCACAAAGCAGCCGAACUCGGACUGAAUAAUUGAUGGGAUUGUUUAGUUAGUUUCAGUGCACUACGUUUCUGCCCAGUUUAAGUUAUGCUGUAUCUGAAUAAUUAGAACUUGUCUGUAAACCAUCUGGACAAAAUAAUUUGUUUCUUCAUUC